rnacentral:rRNA from 1 species
CAGCUAGUUGGUGGGGUAAGAGCCUACCAAGGCGACGAUCGGUAGCUGGUCUGAGAGGACGAUCAGCCACACUGGGAUUGAGAACGGCCCAGACUCCUACGGGGGGCAGCAGUGAGGAAUUUUCCGCAAUGGAGGAAACUCUGACGGAGCAACGCCGCGUGCAGGAGGACGCUUUUCGGAGUGUAAACUGCUUUUCUGUGGGAAGAGGGAGGACGGUACCACAGGAAGAAGCCCCGGCUAACUACGUGCCAGCAGCCGCGGUAAUACGUAGGGGGCGAGCGUUGUCCGGAGUUACUGGGCGUAAAGGGCAUGCAGGCGGUCGGACGCGUUUUGUGUGACAGCGGGUGGCUUAACUACCCGAGUAUGCGAAAGACGGUUUGACUUGAUGGCUCGAGAGGGACACGGAAUUCCGGGUGGAGUGGUGAAAUGCGUAGAGAUC